UUGGCCAAAAAGUUCGUUCGGGUUUUUCCAUACGAUGUUUCAGAAAAACCUGAAUGAACUUUUUGGCCAA
rnacentral:miRNA from 1 species